rnacentral:rRNA from 1 species
GACGAACGCUGGCGGCGUGCUUAACACAUGCGAGUCGAACGGAAAGGCCCUGCUUUUGUGGGGUGCUCGAGUGGCGAACGGGUGAGUAACACGUGAGUAACCUGCCCUUGACUUUGGGAUAACUUCAGGAAACUGGGGCUAAUACCGGAUAGGAGCUCCUGCUGCAUGGUGGGGGUUGGAAAGUUUCGGCGGUUGGGGAUGGACUCGCGGCUUAUCAGCUUGUUGGUGGGGUAGUGGCUUACCAAGGCUUUGACGGGUAGCCGGCCUGAGAGGGUGACCGGCCACAUUGGGACUGAGAUACGGCCCAGACUCCUACGGGAGGCAGCAGUGGGGAAUAUUGCACAAUGGGCAGAAGCCUGAUGCAGCAACGCCGCGUGCGGGAUGACGGCCUUCGGGUUGUAAACCGCUUUCGCCUGUGACGAAGCGUGAGUGACGGUAAUGGGUAAAGAAGCACCGGCUAACUACGUG